GCGUCCGUAGCUCAGCCGGAUAGAGCAACGGCCUUCUAAGCCGUGGGUCGAGGGUUCGAAUCCCCCCGGAUGCACCA
rnacentral:tRNA from 1 species